rnacentral:rRNA from 1 species
GAGGGAUCCUGGAGAUAUCGGAAGUGCGAAUGCUGACAUGAGUAACGAUAAUGGGAGUGAAAAACUCCCACGCCGGAAGACCAAGGUUUCCUGUCCCAUGCUAAUCAGGGUAGGGUAAGUCGGCCCCUAAGGCGAGGCAGAAAUGCGUAGUCGAUGGGAACCACGUUAAUAUUCGUGGGCCUGGGAGUGUGUGACGGAUUUCGAAAGUUGUCAUCCCUUAUCGGAUUGGGAUGGCGGCCUGGAAGUCCCUGGAAAUAGCCCUCCCAUAUAGACCGUACCCUAAACCGACACAGGUGGACUGGUAGAGAAUACCAAGGCGCUUGAGAGAACGAUGUUGAAGGAACUCGGCAAAAUACCUCCGUAAGUUCGCGAGAAGGAGGCCCAGUUUCUACGCAAGUAUUGACUGGGGGCACAAACCAGGGGGUGGCGACUGUUUACUAAAAACACAGGGCUCUGCGAAGUGGCUAACACGACGUAUAGGGUCUGACGCCUGCCCGGUGCCGGAAGGUUAAUUGAUGGGGUU